UAUGUCUGUGAGCGGCACACUGCUCAGUAACACGUAGCUAACUUACCCUUAGGACGUGGACAACCCCGAGAAAUUGGGGCUAAUCCGCGAUAGAUGUAUUGUCCUGGAAUGGUAUUACGUCCAAAGGUAUCCCAUACAUGUUUGGUAUACGCCUAAGGAUGGGGCUGCGGCCGAUCAGGCUGUUGGUGAGGUAAUGGCUCACCAAACCUUUGACCGGUACGGGCCAUGAGAGUGGUAGCCCGGAGAUGGACACUGAGACAAGGGUCCAGGCCCUACGGGGCGCAGCAGGCGCGAAACCUCCUCAAUGCACUUACGUGCGAAGGGGCUACCUCGAGUGCCACCUGAUGAAGGUGGCUUUUCCUAGGUCUAAAAAGCCUUGGGAAUAAGAGGGGGGCAAGACUGGUGUCAGCCGCCGCGGUAACACCAGCCCCUCGAGUGGUGGGGAUGAUUAUUGGGCCUAAAGCGUCCGUAGCCUGCCGUUAAAGUUUCCCGUUAAAUCCAGCGUCUCAAGCGUUGGACCGCGGGAAAUACUGCACGGCUAGAGAGUGGGAGAGGUCAGCGGUAUUCUGGGGGUAGGGGCGAAAUCCUUUGAUCCCCGGAGGACCACCAGUGGCGAAGGCUGCUGACUAGAACACGUCUGACGGUCAGGGACGAAAGCUGGGGUAGCGAACCGGAUUAGAUACCCGGGUAGUCCCAGCCGUAAACGAUGCAUGCUAGGUGUUGGGUUGGCCACGAGCCACCCCAGUGCCGCAGGGAAGCCGUUAAGCAUGCCGCCUGGGAAGUACGAUCGCAAGGUUGAAACUUAAAGGAAUUGGCGGGGGAGCACCACCAGGCGUGAAGCCUGCGGUUUAAUUGGA
rnacentral:rRNA from 1 species